GGUAGGGUGGGUGGGGGGCCUUGGGGAAAAAGUCCUCAGGUCUGGGAGGUUGGCCUGUCCCUCCCUCCAUCAGUCGCUGAUGCCUCAGGGGUCUGACGCUGGUGCAGGAGGCUGGGGACGCCCCAAUCCAUCCCCAUUCCCACUAUCUCUCACCCCUGUUCAUGCUGCUCCCCAUCUCUGUGAGGAGACAGGACCCAGAGCUGUGCCAGCUGGGCACAGUAGAUCGGGUGGGGGGAGCCUAAACCCCCCGGCGCCUACCUCCAGUCAGGCUCUAAGGGGUGUUGGCCUGCAGAGAUGCCGGAUUAAAUGUCUCAGUCCAGAGCUCGGCUUUUCUGACCAGGACAGGUUCUCUUGGAGCCAAAGGGAAAGGGUUUUAAGCUGAAGAGAGAGCGACAGCCUGUCUGGAAGAAAGCUGGAAUUCAAAUCCCAGCGGUUCCUUGACUCCCUCCAUCCGCCAAAACCUUCCUGUGGAGCCACAGGCAGAUGUGAGCUCAGUAUGAAAGAGGACAGAAGAUGCCUGACUCAGCACCUGAGGUCCCUCUCCGACAUCUGGAGUCGGAAGUCAGGCCUCUCAAAGAAGAUCCUUAAUAGCCUCACCAUGUGGCAGGCACUGUUUGGGGUAUCUCGAGAGCGACAGAUACCUGUUUUUUGACCUUGUGGGGGCAGUGUCACUGAUUCAGCAGAGGAGCUAGAUCCAGGUGCAGGAUGCCUGUUCAAGGUCUGUGCAGAACCGUGGAUGCAAGGAGGGGAGGCUGCAGCCAGGGCACCUGCUGUGGGCUGUUGUCAUUGUUUGCGUUGGAACAGGGAGAGGGGGGAACCCAGCUUAACUCUUCCGGAAACGUUUUGAAAAUUCUACCUUGCCUCUUUCACCAGCACAGCCACAGGUGCAUCACAGAAUGUGGACUAAGAACAGCCGUCCUGGCCUUCCUGCAGCAACGUGGUGGUGGCAUUCUUUCCAGCCGGGGAAGGACAUUUUCAAAAGUAGAGAAUUCACCUGCGAUCCCGUUAUGCUUAGGUUUCUCUGUUUUGUCCGCUUUCCAUCUCAGAUAUUCUCCACGUAUGUAUUUUUUACACAAUGGUUUCAGAGGCUUAUGUGUAAUCAGGAUGUGCACAGUUUGAGUCUGCUUUUCUCACUUAGUGCAAAUGCGCACUUUGCUAAGUUGCUUAAUUUUCUAAUCCCUUAAUUUUGGAUAUUUAGGUGGUUGGUAGUAUUUUUUUCUUUUCUUUUUUUUUUUUUUUUGCUGUUACAGAAAUUUGUCCUAAAUGCACUACAACCUUUUCUCACUGUUUUCAGGGCAUAACUACCCUCGUGAUGGUCAAAGGCUAUGAAAAUUUUCAUAGUUUGAUACAAAUGCUUGCACUGAGCAGUAAUUAUCAGGCACUGAAGGAAGUCAGAGGUUCAGUGCAAUCUGGUUAGAGAUAUUCAUCAGUAAAAAUGUAUUUUUCCACUUCGCUAGAUUAUGAGAUGAAAUGGUACCUCAUUUUAAUUUACAUUUCCUUGAAAACAGUAAGAUCGGAAAUCUUUCCAAAUGUAAUUCCUCUUAUGUAAACUGCCUAAUUAAUAUAGCCUUCAGAUAUUGAGCUANUGACUUAUUUCACUUGGCACAAUGUCCUUAAAGUUCAUCCAUGUUGUUGCAAGUGGGAACAUUUCAUUUUUUUAAUAGCUGAACAAUAUUCCAUUGUAUGUGUAUACACCCCAUUUUUUUUUGUCUUUGGUAUUUUUUUUUUUUUUGUCUUUUUGUCUUUUAGGGCCUCACCCACAGCAUAUGGACAUUCCCAGGCUAGGGGUCUAAUUGGAGCUGUAGCCGCUGGCCUACACCACAGCCACAGCAACGUGGGAUCCGAGCUGUGUCUGCGACCUACACCGCAGCCCACAGCAAUGCCGGAUCCUUAACCCACUGAGUGAGGCCAGGGAUCGAACCCGAGUCCUCAUGGAUGCUAAUUGGGUUUGCUGAGCCACGACGGGAACUCCUAUUUUAUAUUUCUUAUUAAUUUGUAUGAACGAUUCAUCCUUGUCACAAUUGCUUCAAAUAUUUUUCCACUCUUCUAGCUAUUUUUAAUUUUUGGUUUUACAUUUUCAUAGUCAAAUUUGUUGGUCCUAGCAAGUUUCAGGGUUUAG
ensembl:lncRNA